rnacentral:rRNA from 1 species
UUUCUGGUCAGUGGCUGACACUCAUGUGUCACUGAGGGGGGAUCCGGACGGAUGAGAUACCCUGGGAUUCCCUACCGAAAAGAAUGAGUGCUAUUUGGGAAGGGGUUUCCGCCACUGGAUGCUGUUUUGAACGCAUUGGUUCAUCCGCCAGGGAAGGACUAGCUGUCGGUUGAAAAUGGAUUGACUUGACGGAAUCACUAUGGAAGUCGCACCGCUUACCAAGGCAACGAUGCAUAGCCGACCUGAGAGGGUGAUCGGCCACACUGGAACUGAGACACGGUCCAGACUCCUACGGGAGGCAGCAGUAGGGAAUCUUCCGCAAUGGGCGAAAGCCUGACGGAGCAACGCCGCGUGAGUGAUGAAGGUCUUCGGAUCGUAAAACUCUGUUAUUAGGGAAGAACAUAUGUGUAAGUAACUGUGCACAUCUUGACGGUACCUAAUCAGAAAGCCACGGCUAACUACGUGCCAGCAGCCGCGGUAAUACGUAGGUGGCAAGCGUUAUCCGGAAUUAUUGGGCGUAAAGCGCGCGUAGGCGGUUUUUUAAGUCUGAUGUGAAA